rnacentral:rRNA from 1 species
UGUGAGCUCGAUGAGUAGGGCGGGACACGUGGUAUCCUGUCUGAAUAUGGGGGGACCAUCCUCCAAGGCUAAAUACUCCUGACUGACCGAUAGUGAACCAGUACCGUGAGGGAAAGGCGAAAAGAACCCCGGCGAGGGGAGUGAAAAAGAACCUGAAACCGUGUACGUACAAGCAGUGGGAGCCUCUUUAUGGGGUGACUGCGUACCUUUUGUAUAAUGGGUCAGCGACUUAUAUUCUGUAGCAAGGUUAACCGAAUAGGGGAGCCGAAGGGAAACCGAGUCUUAACUGGGCGUUAAGUUGCAGGGUAUAGACCCGAAACCCGGUGAUCUAGCCAUGGGCAGGUUGAAGGUUGGGUAACACUAACUGGAGGACCGAACCGACUAAUGUUGAAAAAUUAGCGGAUGACUUGUGGCUGGGGGUGAAAGGCCAAUCAAACCGGGAGAUAGCUGGUUCUCCCCGAAAGCUAUUUAGGUAGCGCCUCGUGAACUCAUCUCCGGGGGUAGAGCACUGUUUCGGCAAGGGGGUCAUCCCGACUUACCAACCCGAUGCAAACUGCGAAUACCGGAGAAUGUUAUCACGGGAGACACACGGCGGGUGCUAACGUCCGUCGUGAAGAGGGAAACAACCCAGACCGCCAGCUAAGGUCCCAAAGUCAUGGUUAAGUGGGAAACGAUGUGGGAAGGCCCAGACAGCCAGGAUGUUGGCUUAGAAGCAGCCAUCAUUUAAAGAAAGCGUAAUAGCUCACUGGUCGAGUCGGCCUGCGCGGAAGAUGUAACGGGGCUAAACCAUGCACCGAAGCUGCGGCAGCGACGCUUAUGCGUUGUUGGGUAGGGGAGCGUUCUGUAAGCCUGUGAAGGUGUGCUGUGAGGCAUGCUGGAGGUAUCAGAAGUGCGAAUGCUGACAUAAGUAACGAUAAAGCGGGUGAAAAGCCCGCUCGCCGGAAGACCAAGGGUUCCUGUCCAACGUUAAUCGGGGCAGGGUGAGUCGACCCCUAAGGCGAGGCCGAAAGGCGUAGUCGAUGGGAAACAGGUUAAUAUUCCUGUACUUGGUGUUACUGCGAAGGGGGGACGGAGAAGGCUAUGUUGGCCGGGCGACGGUUGUCCCGGUUUAAGCGUGUAGGCUGGUUUUCCAGGCAAAUCCGGAAAAUCAAGGCUGAGGCGUGAUGACGAGGCACUACGGUGCUGAAGCAACAAAUGCCCUGCUUCCAGGAAAAGCCUCUAAGCAUCAGGUAACAUCAAAUCGUACCCCAAACCGACACAGGUGGUCAGGUAGAGAAUACCAAGGCGCUUGAGAGAACUCGGGUGAAGGAACUAGGCAAAAUGGUGCCGUAACUUCGGGAGAAGGCACGCUGAUAUGUAGGUGAAGUCCCUCGCGGAUGGAGCUGAAAUCAGUCGAAGAUACCAGCUGGCUGCAACUGUUUAUUAAAAACACAGCACUGUGCAAACACGAAAGUGGACGUAUACGGUGUGACGCCUGCCCGGUGCCGGAAGGUUAAUUGAUGGGGUCAGCGCAAGCGAAGCUCUUGAUCGAAGCCCCGGUAAACGGCGGCCGUAACUAUAACGGUCCUAAGGUAGCGAAAUUCCUUGUCGGGUAAGUUCCGACCUGCACGAAUGGCGUAAUGAUGGCCAGGCUGUCUCCACCCGAGACUCAGUGAAAUUGAACUCGCUGUGAAGAUGCAGUGUACCCGCGGCAAGACGGAAAGACCCCGUGAACCUUUACUAUAGCUUGACACUGAACAUUGAGCCUUGAUGUGUAGGAUAGGUGGGAGGCUUGGAAGUGUGGACGCCAGUCUGCAUGGAGCCGACCUUGAAAUACCACCCUUUAAUGUUUGAUGUUCUAACGUUGACCCGUAAUCCGGGUUGCGGACAGUGUCUGGUGGGUAGUUUGACUGGGGCGGUCUCCUCCUAAAGAGUAACGGAGGAGCACGAAGGUUGGCUAAUCCUGGUCGGACAUCAGGAGGUUAGUGCAAUGGCAUAAGCCAGCUUGACUGCGAGCGUGACGGCGCGAGCAGGUGCGAAAGCAGGUCAUAGUGAUCCGGUGGUUCUGAAUGGAAGGGCCAUCGCUCAACGGAUAAAAGGUACUCCGGGGAUAACAGGCUGAUACCGCCCAAGAGUUCAUAUCGACGGCGGUGUUUGGCACCUCGAUGUCGGCUCAUCACAUCCUGGGGCUGAAGUAGGUCCCAAGGGUAUGGCUGUUCGCCAUUUAAAGUGGUACGCGAGCUGGGUUUAGAACGUCGUGAGACAGUUCGGUCCCUAUCUGCCGUGGGCGCUGGAGAACUGAGGGGGGCUGCUCCUAGUACGAGAGGACCGGAGUGGACGCAUCACUGGUGUUCGGGUUGUCAUGCCAAUGGCACUGCCCGGUAGCUAAAUGCGGAAGAGAUAAGUGCUGAAAGCAUCUAAGCACGAAACUUGCCCCGAGAUGAGUUCUCCCUGACUCCUUGA